rnacentral:rRNA from 1 species
GACGACGCUGGCGGCGUGCUUAACACAUGCAAGUCGAACGAGGGGCGGACGGGUGAGUAAUGUCUGGGAAACGGCCCGAUGGAGGGGGAUAACUACUGGAAAAGGUAGCUAAUACCGCAUACCAUCGGAUGUGCCCAGAUGGGAUUAGGUAGGUGGGGGGGUAACGGGUCACCUAGGCGAAGAACCCUAGCUGGUCUGAGAGGAUGGCCACCCCAACCGGGACCGGGGCACGGUCCAGACCCCUACGGGAGGCAGCAGUGGGGAAUAUUGCACAAAGGGCGCAAGCCUGGUGCAGCCAUGCCGGGUGUAUGAAAAAAGCCUUCGGGUUUUAAAAUACUUUCAGCGAGGAGGCGUUACUCUCAGAAGAAGCACCGGAUAACUCCGUGGCAGCAGCCGCGGUAAUUC